UACGUAGGCAGCGAGCGUUGUUCGGAAUUACUGGGCGUAAAGAGUGUGUAGGCGGUGCUCUAAGUUCGGUGUGAAAUCUCCUGCUUAACUGGGAGGGUGCGCCGGAAACUGGAGUGCUUGAGCGUGGGAGAGGAAAGCGGAAUUCCUGGUGUAGCGGUGAAAUGCGUAGAUAUCAGGAAGAACACCAAUGGCGAAAGCAGCUCUCUGGGACGGUACUGACGCUGAGACGCGAAAAGCGUGGGGGAGCGAACAGG
rnacentral:rRNA from 1 species